rnacentral:rRNA from 1 species
AGAGUUUGAUCCUGGCUCAGGAUGAACGCUAGCGGCAGGCUUAAUACAUGCAAGUCGAGGGGCAGCAUGUCCCGAAGCAAUUCGGGAUGAUGGCGACCGGCAAACGGGUGCGGAACACGUACAGAACCUUCCUUCGAGCGGGGAAUAGCCCAGAGAAAUUUGGAUUAAUACCCCAUAGUAUAUUGGAGUGGCAUCGCUUUGAUAUUAAAGAUUUAUCACUUGAAGAUGGCUGUGCGGCUGAUUAGGUAGUUGGCGGGGUAACGGCCCACCAAGCCUUCGAUCAGUAACUGGUGUGAGAGCACGACCAGUCACACGGGCACUGAGACACGGGCCCGACUCCUACGGGAGGCAGCAGUAAGGAAUAUUGGUCAAUGGACGAAAGUCUGAACCAGCCAUGCCGCGUGGAGGAUGAAGGUCCUCUGGAUUGUAAACUUCUUUUAUCUGGGACGAAAAAAGGCUUUUCUAAGUCGUCUGAUGGUACCAGAUGAAUAAGCACCGGCUAACUCCGUGCCAGCAGCCGCGGUAAUACGGAGGGUGCAAGCGUUAUCCGGAUUCACUGGGUUUAAAGGGUGCGUAGGUGGGUUGGUAAGUCAGUGGUGAAAUCCCCGAGC